CUCUAAUACAAAUUUUCAGAUGUUAUAUUUUAAGGAAUAUUUCCAGUAAAUGUAUUAGUCUUAAAGAGAUUUAUUCCUUCCAAAAUUGCAAAAGCAACAAGGUAAAAAUGUAUCAGUAAAAUAGAUAUUAGUAGAAUUCCGAUUUGAAUAUAUCUAUUUUAC
rnacentral:ncRNA from 12 species